AGUGAACGCUGGCGGCGUGCCUAAUACAUGCAAGUCGAACGAGCGGCGGACGGGUGAGGAAUGCCUAGGCAUCUGCCUGGUAGUGGGGGAUAACGUCCGGAAACGGGCGCUAAUACCGCAUACUAUCAGAUUAGCCUAGGUCGGAUUAGCUAGUUGGUGGGGUAAAGGCCUACCAAGGCGACGAUCAGUAACUGGUCUGAGAGGAUGAUCAGUCACACUGGAACUGAGACACGGUCCAGACUCCUACGGGAGGCAGCAGUGGGGAAUAUUGGACAAUGGGCGAAAGCCUGAUCCAGCCAUGCUGCGUGUGUGAAGAAGGUCUUCGGAUUGUAAAGCACUUUAAGUUGGGAGGCGUUACCAACAGAAUAAGCACCGGCUAACUGCGUGCCAGCAGCCGCGGUAAGAC
rnacentral:rRNA from 1 species